GCAUAUGUAAAUAUUAAGGGGAAAGGAAGCUCUGAGGUAAUUGAUAGAUAAAUAUUUCUGUAUUAAGUGUGAUUUAUCAGCUAUGUUAUGGUGACCAUAGGUAAGAGUAAAGCCAAGUUUAUAUUUAUGAUUGCUAUAUGUUCCUCUUAAAUGUAUUUUUCAAAACAGAGGCAUCUAAGACACAAGCAAAAUACCCUACUAUAGAAGAUCAAAACACAAGUGUGCAACGUAAAUGGCCUAGGAUCUCUCAGCAGAUGAACAUUCAGAGUUUAUGUGAAGAUUAGUUACAAUGUAAAGUGAAAUUGAAAAAUGAGACUGAACAGGCAGAUUCUUACGUCAUAAUUUCCUUCUGAAAUAUACUGGAUGAUAAUAUGCUGUCCUAUUUGGCAAGGACUGCAAUGGAAAUCUGCCUCCUCUGCUCACAAAUCUCCUCCAGAACUGUAUUACACCCCCCUCUUACGGUGAGAACCAGUGUUUAUGGCAUGCCUUUGUAGAGUCCCAGGUGAUGGAUGCAUGCAUACACAUGAUGUUGGAAGAUGAGAAAAGGCUGUAAUUCCAGGUAGGAUGACUUUUUGUAGGACUGCUCUGUGCCGGGACUCUUAUGAAGGAUCAAACACUGAGGCUAAACAGAGUUUCCUCCUGCUCCAUGGAGGUACGUGGCAAGCACAGCUAGCCAUCAUGUCACAGGUAAUGCCAACCUUUGCAUAGAUACAUGGUCUUGGGGCAGGAGAGACUCCAGCACGGUUUCCUGAUCAGGUUUGAAAGACAGGCACAGUGAAGUAAGAGCAUGAGUGGAGUGUGAAAUGCAGAGGUUUUAUGUUGCCUGUGUGAGACAGUGUUUUUUAAGUGGUAACAUGGCAGAUCUGAGUGGGAUGAUGGCUUUCUGAAGACUGCAAGAAAGCUAUGGAAUGAGUAUCUGCUAGAAUCAAAAAAAGAUGAAUGCUGAAAGGAAGGGGCUGGAACUGGAAGAGAGGUAUUUGGGCCAAAGCCAGGAUGGGUGGGAGAAGGUGAGGGAGGUGCACAACACAUCUUGGCUGGCUCAGUGUUUUCUAUCUGCAACACAGUCAAGGUCUUCUAAUGCUGCAGAGCAGGCGUGGGCUGCAGCAUCGUUAAGUCAUCAUAGUGCCACUGAAUAAAAGAAAAGAUAAAAACAGAGUACGCUUCUCUAAGCAUCUUUUAAUUUGUGUUUUAAAUCAGUAAGGGCUUUGCAUGAACUAGCAGGUCAUUGCACAAAAAUUAUAGCACUAUAUGGCUUUACUCUGAUAGGUGGUGUAAAUCUGGAUCCAAAUUUCCAAACCCUUUCAGAAAUUAUGCUGUGUACAUGCCUGUGUUUCAUGAUGUCUUCCCAGUGUACCAACUGCCAUGUUUGCAUAUGUAAUUUGAGUCAUUUCAAAACACCUGGCUCUUUUUAAAGACAUUUCCAUUGCAAUACAAUUUCGUAAUCUGUCUGUAAAGAUAUAUGGAAUGAUUUUUUUCUGAGAACUGAAGUCUUUUGCAGAGAGCUGCAGUUUGCUGCAUAAUGUCGACACAAUGGGGCUGAUUUAAGGAUGCUAUGUUUGCCCUCAAUAUGAAUUUCCUUGCACUAAUGGCCCCAGUUUAAAUCUUAUUGUGGGAUUUUCUUGUUCUUGAAAUCAGUAGGAAGUAAGCCAGUUUUCUGAACCUUGUGAGAGUAACUUGUUCUCUCUGGAUUCUAGUCAGUGCUUAUUGCCUCACUAUCAAAAUGCAGCUUCAGUUCUUGAAAGAAAGAGCUACAUGUGGUGAAACUCUUUACUCUCCUUGGAAAUGAAAUUUUCAACUCUUCAAAGUAGGAGUCCUAUUUCAAGAUAUUCUCACUUUAAAGGGAAGUUCAUUUCCCAUUUAAAGUAUGUAUAAUAUUCAGAGCUCAAUGGUGAAGCAUCUCAUUAACAGAACACCCAACUAAAUUGUCUGCAAUAGACAGCUAUUUCUGUACAGAGAAUACUGGAGAUGUUGGUUGCUCCCACGCCUGUCAGUGUGUAUGGGAGCUGAAAAUGGUUAGUGUAUAUGGGUAAAAGUGGCCUAGCAGUUUUGAAGUGCAAGAAUAGAUUUUGGGGUCCAUUGGAAAAGCCUUUAAAUUUAAGUAUGAACUACAGUAAGAAAUGGGGCUAGCAGCUAAGAGUCCUAGAAAGAUAAUGAUGGCUUUCUGUUUACAAUUCAGAGAUACUCGGUACACAGCUCUACCACUGGGUUCAUAAGCUGGAGCAAUAUUUUGGUUUAUCAGCAGACAUAUUUUUUUUAUACUUUUCUUUCUACAUCUGGAAAACACAUGCCAUCUGUGUACGUCUGAAAAGCAUGAAAGAUUUGCAAAGUUACUCCACUAACUCUAGAAAGGGAAUGGAAUGGGUAAAGUAAUAGGCAAAGACAAGUACAAAUCAAAAUAUUGUCUUUAGAUUCAGCCAAUGGCAUCAGCGCAGUUGUUUUUAUGUAGCUUUUCACUUCUAUCUGAACAAAAAGACAUAGUUGUUAGAAAGAAAAAAAAAGGAAGAAAAUAGCAUAUAAAGAAGUACUUGUUCAAGCUGCAGUUGUAAAAAACACAAAAUAGUUUUGGGCGUAAUGCUUUAAUCAUCAUAUGAAUGAACACGGCCCCUUUAAUGUAAUUUACCAAGUUGAUAGACUUUCUACAUACGUUAAUUACCAGCAUCUGAAUUAUGAUCAUACUCAUUCCUAUUCUCUGUAGAAAUCUUUAAACUUCCAGCACUGUCACAGCUUUCUCUUCUCACUUGAUGAUUAUAGGUAAAAGUUUUAUUAACAAUUUAAUUAUUCUCUUUAGAAGCCAACAUAAUUACAGUGGGCUUGACUCCGCUCCCAUUAAAAGUCUUUUUAAACGAUUUUGCCAUUAGAUGUAGUCCAAUGUGAGAGAAGAGCAGUUUGAAAUCAACAAAAUCGUGCUUCAAAAUUGCAGUGAUGAAAGAGAUUGAAAGGAGUAAUACCAUUAACAUUUUACAGAACAUCACAGUACUUGCGUAGGGGCUAUCAGCCCCGUCUAAAUACAUAUUGGGUAAAUCCUGCAAAACUUCAUUCACUUUCAAGGUUCUUAUUCGUAUGAACAGCUUGACUAAAUCAUCUGCAGUAAAGAGGAAUAGUCUGACUAAGAAGUUCUGACUAAAAAGCUGGACU